GAUCUCCUACGGAGGCAGCAGUAGGGAAUAUUGCGCAAUGGAGGAAACUCUGACGCAGCAAUGCCACGUGAGUGAGGAAGGUCUUCGGAUUGUAAAGCUCUGUCCUAUAGGAAGAACGGCACUAGGUAACGCUAGUGUUUGACGGUACUAUAGAAGAAAGCACCGGCUAACUCCGUGCCAGCAGCCGCGGUAAUACGGAGGGUGCAAGCGUUGUUCGGAUUUACUGGGCGUAAAGCGCGCGCAGGCGGACAAUCAAGUCAGAUGUGAAAUCUCGGGGCUUAACCCCGAAACUGCGUCUGAAACUGGUUGUCUAGAGUCUCACAGGGGGUUGGGGAAUUUCACGUGUAGGGGUAAAAUCCGUAGAGAUGUGAAGGAACACCAGUGGCGAAAGCGGCA
rnacentral:rRNA from 1 species